rnacentral:lncRNA from 1 species
GCUACCUGCCUUGUUUUGUGGUUCCUUKCUCCAUUUAACAUGAAGGGCACGGUCUGGCAGCCUGUGCUUGGAGGAAUUCCCUAACUGCAUGCGUUGCUGUAGCAGUAGAGCUGUUWUAGCUCUGAUGGUCUGCGGAAAUAAACAGGGACAUUUGGUAUGGCUGGAAACAGCAGCAGAACUGAGGGCAAACAAGCUGGAAAGAAGACUUCUUUAUACUGCUGCGGGCAUUUGAACCCAAGUGUGCGUGCACGGUCAUGAAGAAACUGAAAGAAACCUGGGAGUCUGAUUGUUUUCUCCCUGCCUGUUUCAUGAGAAAAAUCAGCAAACUUCUUGAACCCRUGGUAGGAGAUCUGAAGCCGUGUGGAUGCUUUCCUCCGUAGCAGAGCUGUGGUUCCAGGAGGAGUGGACUCGGGACACGGCAGCUCCYGGGCGUUGCAAGGACACCGAUCGUCCGCCCAGGUUGUACAAGAGCAGUGGGGCACCUGUGAAACAGGUUGUGCCAGGACACAAUGCUGCAGCGUGUGCAGUGAAUUCAAUACAUGUUGUUGAAGUCUAUGGACAUAAGGAUAGUUAUAACAGACCUAGCUCUCAGAUACCUGGGUAGCGGCGGUCUGAAAUACAGUAGCUCCUCUGGACCAAAAUAAAAUCUGGGUAGAAAUAUGUGCCUUAAAGACA